GACGAACCGUGCGAACGUUAUUCGGAAUAACUGGGCUUAAAGGGAGCGUAGGCGGGCUAUCAAGUCUGGGGUGAAAUCCCGCGGCUCAACCGUGGAACUGCCUCAGAUACUGACGGCCUCGAGGGAGAUAGGGGCAUGCAGAACUGUAGGUGGAGCGGUGAAAUGCGUUGAUAUCUACAGGAACUCCGGUGGCGAAAGCGGCGUGCUGGAUCUCUUCUGGACGCUGAGGCUCGAAAAGCUAGGGGGAGCAAAACGGG
rnacentral:rRNA from 1 species